GAGGAAGAACGUAGCAAAAUGCGAUACUUGGUGUGAAUUGCAGAAUCCCGUGAACCAUCGAGUUUUUGAACGCAAGUUGCGCCCAAAGCCUUUUGGCCGAGGGCACGUCUGCCUGGGCGUCACGCAUCGCGUCGCCCCCCACAAUUCUUCGUAAAGGGAACAUGUGUUUUGGGGGCGGAUAUUGGUCUCCCGUGCUCAUGGCGUGGUUGGCCGAAAUAGGAGUCCUUUCGAUGGACGCACGAACUAGUGGUGGUAGUAAAAACCCUCGUCUUUUGUUUCGUGCUGUUGCUCGCAAGGUAAACUCUUUAAAAACCCCAAUGUGUCGUCUCUUGACGACGCUUCGACCGCGACCCCAGGUCAGGCGGGACUACCCGCUGAGUUUAAGCAUAUCAAUAAGCGGAGGA
rnacentral:misc_RNA from 1 species